GAAAUGUGAUAAGUAAUGUGAAUUGCAGAAUUCAGUGAAUCAUCGAAUCUUUGAACGCAACUUGCGCUCUUUGGUAUUCCGAAGAGCAUGUCUGUUUGAGUGUUAUGAAAUUUUCAACCCAACCUUUUGUUUUCGAAUGAUCGGACGUGGUGUUGGUUCGUGGGCUUGCCGGUUGAGAGAUGGGCUUGCCUUAAAUGCAUGAGCAGUGUCACCAGUUGAACUGGCUUGACUUGGCGUAAUAAGAUAUUACCGCUGAGGACAACCGCUUGUCGGUUGGCCAGGAAGCUUGAGUGAGGGCUUCAAAUGAAACUUCUAAACUUUGACCUCAAAUCAGACAGGACUACCCGCUGAACUUAA
rnacentral:misc_RNA from 1 species